UGGGGAAUUUUGGACAAUGGGCGAAAGCCUGAUCCAGCAAUGCCGCGUGUGUGAAGAAGGCCUUCGGGUUGUAAAGCACUUUUGUCCGGAAAGAAAUCCUUGGCUCUAAUGCAGUCGGGGGAUGACGGUACCGGAAGAAUAAGCACCGGCUAACUACGUGCCAGCAGCCGCGGUAAUACGUAGGGUGCAAGCGUUAAUCGGAAUUACUGGGCGUAAAGCGUGCGCAGGCGGUUUGCUAAGACCGAUGUGAAAUCCCCGGGCUCAACCUGGGAACUGCAUUGGUGACUGGCAGGCUAGAGUAUGGCAGAGGGGGGUAGAAUUCCACGUGUAGCAGUGAAAUGCGUAGAGAUGUGGAGGAAUACCGAUGGCGAAGGCAGCCCCCUGGGCCAAUACUGACGCUCAUGCACGAAAGCGUGGGGAGCAAACAGGAUUAGAUACCCUGGUAGUCCACGCCCUAAACGAUGUCAACUAGUUGUUGGGGAUUCAUUUCCUUAGUAACGUAGCUAACGCGUGAAGUUGA
rnacentral:rRNA from 1 species